rnacentral:lncRNA from 1 species
GGAUAUGUACAUAAGGUUUUGGUUACCUGGUGGAGAUAUGAAGCACAGCCUCAGAAGUUCAUCAGCAAUGCAUGAUAUUUGAGCGAGAUGCCAUACAGGACAGAUUCAGAAUCUCAGGCAAGUCUGAAACUACAGAAACGGAACAGAGAACAAGCUGAAAGAAACAAAAACUCCACACAAGGGAAAAACAAAGCAAGGAAAUCUGAAGUUCCAUCUUUGCUACAGGUUGUUAUGACACACUGUGGCCAUCAAGCAUACCAGUCAUCACACAGACCUCCUCAAAAAACAGUUAUGGAAGGAAAUGUGGAUCUGUCACCAAAUCUAGAAACAAACAUGGCCUUAAGUUUCCUGUUAUAGACAACCUAUCAGUCAAGCAGAAGUUGAAACACAACAUGACCCAUAUAAAAAAAAAAAAAGAGAGAAAGGGGUGCAUGACCCAAAUAAAGCCACCUCAGGUAAGUACUGGCUACAUGGAAUCGAGCCAUUUGUCCUGAUGCUAGACAUUGCAAACUGGAUGGAUGUUAAUCUAAGUUAAUCACGCUUGUAUUACUGCCGUGAAUAGACAUUUGCUUUAUUUUUUUCAUACAAACACAUUAGUUUAAUAAGA